rnacentral:lncRNA from 1 species
AACAAUUAAUAGAAUGAACAAAAGGAAUUUUUACGUGGUUCGGUCCUCUAUUCAAGUGACCUAAUUCACGUCCAAUACUAACUUGUAUUGAAGAUUCUUUUAUUAAUAAACUUGGUUUACAAUUAAAUUUCCUUUACAAAACAAGUUCCCACAAACUUUGAAUACUUACUCCCCAAGCACAUUUGCUCCCCGUGCACCUAUGCACCCUUAAGCACAUAUGCUUACUUGAACUUGCUUGUAAAAACCUCUAAUCCAAACCAGAUUAGAAACUCUAGACUAACCCCUUAGUCCAUUAACUGAUUUUGAGAAUUGAUUAUAAGAUGAUAACAAAGUAAACUAUGAUCAAAACAUUAAUAAUAUAUAUCAAAAUUAGGCUCAAUUAAUAUGCAAUGAUCAAAGAGUUAGAUAAAGAUAUCACUAGUUUAAGAGCGGUGAAUACAAGCUGAAAAUUAAUAUAGACUUGAUGAAGCACAACAACCUUUAAGUAUUUCUUCACAAUAGAAAAAUGGACAACCUUCUUGUAAGUGUUUAUGAAGAGAUUAGAAAUCAAAAUAUGUUCGUAUUGUUAUUCUUCUAC